AGCUAAGGAGCGGGGCCAGCGGGCUGAGGCGGUGGUAUCCAACCUUUUGCUACGGAUGGGGAAAGAGCCAUGGGAACGCUUGGUCUGGUGGGGCGUAGCUGCCUGAUGGCUUUCCUGAGCAACGCUGGAAGAAUGUCUGGAAUAGUAAAACUAUUAGCUCUCAGAAUGAACUGCCGUGGUGUCUGCUGAUGCCCUCAUUGUACAGACGGGGAGAGCUGCUGAGUGAAGAUCAGGGCUCCAGGCUCCCACGCAAGACUCGAGUUUCGCGAGUGGAGAAAGGGGAAUCUGCAAUUGCGCCUGCGCGCGCCAUGCACGCUCCGGCGCGCCCGGCGCCACGUGCAUCCGCACGCACGCACGUGGCUGGCUCCCUCCGCGCGCCUUCUGAAAGCGAGAGACCGCAGAGGACUACAUUUCCCAGAAGUCUUAGACUCGGCGGGGCGGAAGCGCGUGGCUCGGCUGUACCCGUGGCGCCGGCGCAGAACCUUGUAGUCUUCU